rnacentral:tRNA from 1 species
AUCAGGCUAGUUUAAUUAAAAAUAUCAGGAUGUGGGCUUGAAAAUGAGAUUCUUUUCUCGCUUGAUA